UUGAAUAAAUCUGGCGUUAGGUUGUAGCUGGCUCUCCGGAGCAUGUGCACACCUCGUCACCUUUAUCUUUCCACCUGUGCACACACUGUAGUCCUGGAUACCUCUCGCUGAAAGGCGGAUGCGGAGCCUGCUGUGACUUUGGAAACAAAGUCUGGCUUGCUCUGAAUUUCCAGGUCUACGAUUUUUAUACACCCCUAAACGAAUGUUAUAGAAUGUAUAUCACUGGGCCUUUGUGCCUAUAAACCUUAUA
rnacentral:misc_RNA from 1 species